GAGACAACUGACCAGCCGCUCGUUCGUUGCAAUCGCGGCGGCAGAAAAUCAGUACUAUUACUUUCCGGACAAACCCUGUAUAUACGUAGCGAUGUGGACGGUCAUGCCACACAUGUUCACCAGAAAAUCAGACUUUCCGCAUUACUCGCGUUUAAUUCCUGAUUCUUCCAUAUUCAUAGCUCCACUCAGCGCACAAUGAAUAAUGAUGACAGCAAAAAGUCACAUACAUGACGCAUAAAGCAGUGCAUACAAAUAUACACACAUACGAACUGGUCAAGUAUUGUUUGUCGCUUACUGCUGCCUGCUGAAAUCUUCGGUCGUUUUCCCCCCUGGAGAAAUGCUAAAAGGUAUAUUAGUGGCUGCUCUUUACUGCCAAAGCAAAAAUUAAACGCAUGCACCUGCUUACAACACACAAUUCUGGUCAGCGCUUUUGGCCCACUUUUGUAGGCCUUUCAUUUGGCUCGUUCAUGCUUAAGUUGCCCCCACGCGACUGUCGGCUGAGUGGCUCGACAUUCGACUGGCUCAAUAAGCAUGUGUUGUUGGUGUUGUUGCCUUUUUCAUUGGUACUCAACGGAAGUCUAAUUAAUUCUGCAGGAAGCACAGUUAAUAUGGUAAUUUCCGGUUACCUGCACACAUGUAUCUACAUGAAAGGGGC